rnacentral:misc_RNA from 1 species
GAUGAAGAACGUAGUGAAGUGCGAUACGUAAUGUGAAUUGCAGAAUUCAGUGAAUCAUCGAAUCUUUGAACGCAUAUUGCGCUCUCUGGUAUUCCGGAGAGCAUGCUUGUUUGAGUAUCAGUAAACACCUCAACUCCCUUUUCUUUUUUGAAAUGGGAGCUGGACUUGAGUGAUCCCAACACUUUUCUCACUGGAAAGUGGCGGGUCACUUGAAAUGCAGGUGCAGCUGGACUUUUCUCUGAGCUAUAAGCAUAUCUAUUUAGUCUGCCUAAAAAACAGAUUAUUACCUUUGCUGCAGCUAACAUAAAGGAGAUGAGUUCUUGUGCUGACUGAUGCAGGAUUCACAGAGACAGCUUUGCGGCUGACUUUGUAAACUCGAUCUCAAAUCAAGUAAGACUACCCGCUGAACUUAAGCAUAUCAAUAAGCGGAGGA